GUUCUGGUCUCUUUUCCAUUGCUUGACAAAGGGGAACAAAAAGAAAAGCCCUAUACACCAAAAGUAAAAAGGGGAAAUCCUUUGAUCAGGUCUUGAAUGAGACCGAAGGUAAGGAGACCCCCUUAAUGAAAAAAGGGCUAAAAAAUCUCUGGUUCGAUCAGGACCAGGAGUCUCAUUCAUUCGUUUAUGGGAGCGACUCUUUGUUCCCAUUCCUCAAUUGAUUGGCAUCGCUCUUCACUCAAAAAUUCCUCAAAGAAAGAAAGCAGCAAGUCAUUCUGCGCAUAGCAUAAUGGACUGGUGCCAUCCACGCUUCUUCUGACUAUUGAAAAUGGAAGUUCAAGAUUUGAAGCUCAUUUUCCAGCAUUCCUUUCAAUUCUUUCAACCGAUUUGGCAACUUUCAGCAAUACAAAGUUAGGUGAUUUACCGGGUCAGACCUUUCUUGCUCAGCGCCUAAAGCGCACUAUGCUCCGCUUCAACAAAUGAGAGUUUUCGGUGGAACCGGUGAACCACGCGAGCUGGUUAGAUGCGUGGGACAGAGGGCUCGUAGUACCUGCUAGCGCGGCUACGCAGUGGAAGGGAAGGAGCCUAAAUCGACCCCCCUCUUUUUUUCUUUGAAAAAAGCAGUAAGGAGUAAGGAGAUUAAACUCUCGGAUGAGACUAAGCAGCUACCGACCGUUCCGACGCGCCCUUGACCUAUUUUGAUUAAGACCAAAAACCUAUCUCUAAAGUGGAGCCUAGUUUAAGCUGUCAAACAAGUGAUGAUAGAGGGCUCGUAGUACCUGCUAGCUCGGCUACUGCUGCUUUCUUUGUAGCUUUCAGGGUAUUUGGAAAUAAAUAGAUUUAGAAGUCUAAAAAUUCAUAUAUUUUUUUCUUAUUUUCCCUCUUCACUAGGUUAUAGGGCAAGAUCCCUUAUCUAUUGGAUGUGGGAGCUUUUGGACAAUUCGAUAUGAGAGAACUCCAAAAGCAUCAGACCGUCUGUAAUGGCUCGUCCCUAGUGUCUUUGAACGACCUGAAAGGCCUCUCUUCAACUCCCUUUGAGGUUUGAACUGCCAACCAACUCUUUCGACUACGAGUCAUCAAAGAAUGAAUUACCACUAGAGGGGGAAAGCGAUAAAAAUUGGUUCCCUACGACGUCUUCUGUCUUCGCGCUUUGGUGCCCCGAUUCGGCCUGGCCGGUCGGGAAGAGAUUCACAUAGAGACUACUGUUAUUGUCUAUAAUGAUUACUAAUUUUGCACAUUUUUCCUUGGUCAAUGUUAUUGUAGUUGUUAUUGGCAAAAUUGUGAGCUAUGAGGACAUAUAAUCUAUCAAACAAGAUGAUAACAUCCAUGUGUACAUGAACAUUGAGAUACAAAAUUAUGAGUAAGCUCUCCACAAUUUAAAAUAUUUUAACAAUUAUUUAUUUUGAUUCUUGUGCUUAACCUUAUAAUUAUUAUAGGAGCAACAAUAUUUUUGCAACUCUUUAGGGAGACUUUGUGGAACAGAUCAAGCCGUAUUUGAAUGGAUCUAAUGAUAAGCCUGUUGUCGUUGUCAUGCAAUUGAUUAGAGCAUACCGAUAUUAAGGUUAUUAAAUUUUCUACUUACUUUACAAUACAAGGACUCUAUACAAUUAGUAACAGUACAAGAUUGAUUAUCACAAGAGUUGAAAAUCGGAUAAUUGAAGCCAAAGUAUUAUCAGGAAAAAUGGUUGGAGACAAAGUUUUUAUACCAAGAAUGACAUUUACUCCAUCUGAUGUAAGAAUUCCUUUUAAGUUCUAAAAAAGGCAAUUUCCGGUCAUUGUAUCUUUUGCCAUGACCAUCAAUAAAAGCAAGGUCAAUCAUUAUGUAAUGUGAGAUUAUUUUUAAGAAGUUGGGCAACUAUACGUUGCACUUUCAAGAGUAGCAAGUAAAAAAGGGUUAAAGAUCAUAUGUUAUGAUGAAGAUGGGAAGAUAACAAAUGAAGUUACCAAUAUAGUGUAUAAAGAACUUUUUCGAAAUUUAGAGAAUAGAAGCUUUUAAUGAGUAAGUAUCAAAUGAGCAUCACCAACAACAAGUUCAGUGUACAUACUCAGUGUAUAGUUGGUUAUAGUUAGUCAUACAACAGACAAACAUAAAAUUGGAUGAGGUAAACAUAAAAUUGUCGAAUUGCAAGAAUAUGGAUUAUCAAUCACCAUUUCACAUUCAUUGAUUGCUACUACGUAUGCAAUAUUAGUUAGAAUGAAUUUUAUUAGAAAAUAUAUAAUAGGAGUGGUAGUCUGAUAUCUAAAUGUUCAUUAUGAAUGGGAAGAAGAAUAUCUUCAAGUUAGCACAUGUUGAAUAUUGAGAAUGUUUAUGCCAAAUGCAAAUUUAUUGCACACUAAUUUGUCUAUGAUAAGUAGAUAAAUAAAUUGUCUCUUGCGGGUUAACUAAAUGGUGUCUCCUUUGCUCACUGCUGCAACAUUGCAGGUGAUAGAUUUAAUUUCUCUUUAGUAGCAGUAGUUUGUGUAGAGCAAGAAGUCUUUAAGGAAUGGGCGUCAUCUGAGAGAAUCAAUGUAACUUUUAAUCUUCAAUAUUUAGCCAAUGCAUUUACAUUUUGUCAAAUGCUUCACUUAAAGCAACUCGUGUGGAGAUCAUCAUUUAGAUUUAAUGUUGCAUUGCAUUAACCAUCAUAUUAUGCAUGUCUUAUUAUUAACUUUGCACAGAGCACGUGAGCUAUGCUUAUAUUCACACAGGUAGAAAUAAAAUAUAUUGGUAAUUAAAUAUUUGCUCAACUUUUUUAUCCUGAUGAUGACUUAUUUUGAUAUAUUCAUGCUAGUUACAACGAUUGCUGUUUUAUAUAAAGGUUGUGUAGAAAAUUCUCAUAAUUGGUUGCGACUACCUUUUUUCCCCUUCUCAAUACAAAAUGGUUUACGACACGUUAAUUUAUUCUGGGUAAUUUUUGUUUAUAGGACAUGUCCUGAGGAGUGUAGAGAAGCUAUAAAAUCUUUGAUUUUUGCAGUAGGAUGACUCGCCGACGUGCAGGAAUUACGUCAACUAAGAAGUGUAUUUACUAAAAUUUUCUUGUGAAUAGCAAAUCUGGUUGUUCUGACUUCUAUUGUAAGAUCACUAAAAACAUCAGAUAUUGGCCUACAAUAGAAGAUAUUGUCAGUGAUCAAAAAUUGGAAACAAGAAAUGUGCGAGAAACUGCUCAUGUAUAGUAAUUUCUAUUGUUUCCUUUAGGAUCUGAUGGAACUUUAGAUUCUUAGAGUUUAAGUUAAGUUCUCUCACAAAUUAACAAUCAAUUUCUAAAGCUAUAAGUAUAUUGCCAUAUUUACUUAGUCAGCACCGAAAUAUGAUCCGUCAUUAAUGCAUUUAUUUGUUAACUCAUAAAUUCAGAUAUUUUGAUGGUUGUAGAGUUUAGUUCUUUUUCUUGCAUUAAGUUACUCUAUUAUCCAUAUAGCAAGAAAUGUAAACUUCCUCUAAGUAAAAAUUUUUGUGAUACGUGCGGAAACUCCCCUUUUAUAAUCUAAUAAAAUUAGUAACUACGUGACUAAAGCCCACAAAAAAUUAAUAAAAAUAUUGGGUCUUACCAAGAGGAGCACCAACAUGAACCUAAAAUUGCAAAUAAUUAAUGAAAUAAGCUAUUAAAGUGAAAAAAGAAAAGAAAUUUCUCAUGGAUGUAAAAACUCUAAAAUAGGACAAAGAUCAAGAGCAAACGAUGUGAGUUUUCUUUUGCCAAAUUUUCUCUGUAUCUCUAAAAAUUGCACAAGAAAAUACAACUACGUGUUGUAUGCUACAUAUGAAUGACAUUAAUUUUGCUAAGCCAAAAGCUUAAGCUAAGUACAAUAUUAUUUAACUGUAAUUAUAAAUGCAGUACUUCAAAGCUUUAAAUAAUUUUGAAAUAUAUGACGAUUCAUGCAAUAUAUUUUUUGUUUAUUUACUUUUUAAUACUUUAAUUUGUUUUAGUUGAUUAAAAAAUUCUAUUCUUUGAGAAAGUGCAUUUAUCGAGAAUGACAUAAAAGAAUUGGUGUGAGUAAAGCUUAUUUUUUAAUAAAGAAGUACUUAGAAACCUGUUUCUACUAUAUCAUUUUUUUUCUUUAAAACAAUUCGCGCAUCGCGCGAGUACGUAUACUAAUAUUAGAUAACGUAAGAGAGAUAAUUAAAAAUUUAAAUAUAUUUAACACGGAGUAUUAUAAAUAGAAGGAAAAGAUGAUUUGAAUUUGAAUUAAUUAAAAUUAUGGUAAAAUGCUCAAACUAUGGAUAUGAUCACAUAAUUAAAGUUUUACUGGAUAAAGAAUAUCAAUAAUUAGAUAAUAAAUAAAAUUUUAAGAAUAUAAAAUAAGUGUCUCGUGUAGGUAAUUGAGUAACUAAAAUAAAUGUUAAAUUUGUAUACUGAGAAAGAAAAUUUAAUUGCACGUGAUAUAAAAAUAAUUAUAAGAAAAUACAAUAGAUUUAUAAUAUAAUAAUUUAAAAACUUAUAUAUUAAUAUUUAGACUAAUUCAAACUUAUAUAUUAAAAUAAUAUGUGAUACUACAUAUCUUGAUUAUAUUAUAAACUAAUAAUUUAAAAAACUAAUUAAAAUUUUACAAUAGGGAUAAGAAUAUAUAAAGAUGAAAAUAGAGAUAGUCUAAGAAUAUUUAUAUUUUGAAUUAAUAAGUAUAUUAAAUAAUUAAAUAACACUAAAAAAAAUUAUUGAUAGAUUUAAAUGACAAGAGAGCUCUGAGUAAGAGGAUAAAAGUAUAUAAAUACAUUAAUUUUAGGAAUAAAAAUUAUAUUUAUAUAUGAUUAUCAAAAGGGUAAUAUGCAAGAUAUUAAGUCAAUUAGUGAGUUAAUAAAAGAUUACAUGAAAAUGUAACAAUAUUAAGUAACGAAUAAUGCAACAACUAUAAGCAAAGAUUAAAUAGAGAUUGUUUUUGAUAAAAAAUGUGGAAGGAUAAUACUUAUUCGAUUUUGAGGUAAAAUAUAAAGUGGUAGUAAGAAUUUUGUUAAAAUAAUAUGGUCGAACAUGAUAUAUUACAAUGUGAUACGUUUAGUAUUUUUUUAAUAUUGCUCACAUGGCCCGGGUUUGUUCUCUAAAAAUUGCCAGCCAACGUGCGCAUGAUUAGCAAGGUUAGUUGAUCACGCGCAACUAUUUCUUAUAAAAUGACAAUGCGGUCUUUGCAACUACAAUUUGGUUUACAAGUCCGGAGUUGAAUCCCACAGAGAACCAAGGUUUAGCUACAGUUGUUCACUAUCACAAAGAAGACAAGCUUGAACAGCUCCUAACUUUUAGAUAUUAAGAUUCAUGUGUUUAACUAAUUAUUUAAUAAAUUAAAUUAAUAAAUUAACAACUAAUGAUACUAAGAGUUAGAGACAAGAUUAAGGAAGUCUAGAGUUAUGAUUUCCCUAAUUAUCGGAAUCUUUCCCGCUAUAUCUUCUAUAAUUUCGUCUAAGUAUUCUCUACCGAUCAUGAGCACUCUUAUUACUGUAAAUCUCUCCCGAAUAAUCACGACAAUUUUCUAGAUGCACUCUCCCGAGCUACGCUUAAUACAACUUACUUCAUAUCGGACUCAAGGCUUUGUUAUCCCUAAUCCCGCCUUUAAACCAUCAGUUAUUGAUCCUUCAUAUACUCUGGGAGUGGUGUUGUUCAACAAUUACCUAAAUAUGCACUCUCUCCCGAGUUAUACAUACUAAAUAGGCACAACUAAUUGAGAGGUCUUCAAUUAACUACAACAAGACCGUAGUUGAACAAAUAGAGAGUAUACUACGGCUCAAUUAUAUAAAAACAUAACAAGAAUUAAUCUCACAAAAGGUUCCAUCAAAAUCCUAGAUAACAAAUUAGCUAUUCAUAGUAUGUAAAACUACAAUACUAAAAGUCAUAACCAACAAUAAAAAGAUAGGAAGAGGAAAGAAAAAAUUUGUAGAAGAAUUCCCAAGCCUUGCUCUUACUAUGUCUAUUCCUUCUUAGGCCAAAUCUAUGUCAAAAAUAUGUUCAAUUCUCAAAAAUAUUGUUUUUCCAUGUAUAUAUACCAAGUAGGGUCGGGCCCAAAUAGUUAUAUCUUCACAUACGCAAAAAUGACAAGUUUUAGGCCUGGAUGGCUGCGGUCCUACUGCGGUUACGUCAGAACCGCGACCAGAAUGACCUUCAGAAUCCUGCAACAGUAUUCUGCCGCGGUCUUGCCGCGGUUGCGGUUUCAACCGCGUUGUUCACCUUGUUCCGUUUGAAAUUUGGGAAAACAUAAAGCAUAAAAGUUGUAUCACUUUAAGUUAGCUUUCCAACCAUAUAUUGUGGAUCCUAAAUGAAGUUCUGAGUAAAAUGUUAUGUGCAUUUUAUUAGAAAGUACGCAAUAUGCCUACUUGAGUCCUUGUUUUGUUAUUUUAUCAUCCGUUGAUCCCCGAAUACGAUCCCGACUUACUUCCUUGGGCUUUUACUCAGAUUUCAAAGCUCCAAAUCACUUGAAUUCAUUCCAUAACAUCUACAUAGCUUGGAAUCACUCCUACAAAGCAUAAAACACACCAUUAGUACAAAAUACUAGCGAUUAAAGUGCAAACUCAACUAAAGUGCAGUAAAUUAGAGUAUAAUAAUCAAAUAAAAUACGUAAUUAUAGUCUAUCAUCAUUAGCUAACAUACACCUCAGCCAUGGAUAGACAACGGAAGAAGCUCUCAUCCCCAUCGGGAGAGAAGGAUAAUGAUGUAAGCAUAGUAACACCAACUCAGAUACAAAUAGGACGGUGGUUAACUGGUAUGAGCAGUGCUCCCACAGUGUUUCAUAACCCAGCUCAAGGUGGGAAGAUUGAUGGAAUGAUAGUAACGCCAGAUAUUGGGAUUCAACAGGAAUUGAUGCCUAUAAUGUUUGGUAGCUUCCUACCGCAAACAUUUCAACCAAUUUUGGAGGAAAUUGAGAGUGAAGGGGGAAAUAUGCCCCUUAUUACUUUCAGAAUUAGGUAAAUGAGAGAUUCCUUGGGUAGUAUUACCCUGAAAUAUUGCAAGUAAAUAUCGUGGAUUACCUUGGAUCUUCAUCUUUCCAACUAUCUGGCUGGUGCUGCGAUGAUUAUACCCGCUGACCACAUUAAUCUACAAUUCAUCUAAAGAAAAUAAUCCAUAUACAAUCAAAAUACAAAUAAUCUAUAAUUCAUCUAUAAAAUAUAUACAAACUUGGUAUAUUAAAUUUUAAUAUCUCAAUUCCCAUACGAUUAUAGUUUAAUUGGGAUUUUCGACAUAAUUGCAUUUUUUGCAGAAGAUUUGUAAAAGUUUUAGUCUUCGCAAUCUACAAUUUAUCUAUAAUUUAUCUACAAUUCUAUAAUUUAUCUACAAUUUCUUCUUCUUCUUCUUCUUCUUCUUCUUCUUCUUCUUCUUCUUCUUCCUCCUCUUCAUCCUCCUCCUCCUCCUCCUUCUGCUCCUUCUUCUUCUGCUUAUCCUUCUCCUUCUGCUCCUUCUCCUCCUCCUUCUUCCUUCUCCUUCUGCUCCUCCUUCUCCUUCUUCUCCUUCUCCUACGAUCCUCAUUCUCCUCCUCCUUCUCCUUCUCCUUCUCCUCCUCCUUCUCCUCCUCCUCCUCCUCCUCCUUCUUCUUCUUCUUCUUCUUCUUCUCCUUUUUCUCAUUCUCCUUCUCCUCCUGCUCCUUCUCCUUCUGCUUCUUCUUCUUCUUCUUCUUCUUCUUCUUCUUCUUCUUCUUCUUCUUCUUCUUAUGCUUCUUCUUCUUCUUCUUCUUCUCCUUCUUCUCCUCCUCCUCUUCCUCCUCCAUCUCCUUAUUUCCUUCUCCUUCUUAUCCUUCUCAUUCUUCUCCUUCUCCUUCUCCUUCUCCUUCUCCUUCUUCUUCUACUCCUUCUCUUCUUUCUCCUUCUCCUCCUUCUUCUUCUCCUCCCCCUUCUUCUCCUCCUUCUUCUUCUCCUUGUCCUCCUCCUCCUCUUCCUCCUCCUCCUCCUCCUCCUCCUCCUCCUCAUUAUUAUUAUUAUUAUUAUUAUUAUUAUUAUUAUUAUUAUUAUUAUUAUUAUUAUUAUACCCGCUGACCACAUUAAUCUACAAUUCAUCUAAAUAAAACAAUACAUCUACAAUCAAAAUACAAAUAACUACAAUUUAUCUAUAAAAUAUCUACAAACUGGGUAUAUUGAAUUUUAAUAUCCCAAUUCCCAUUCGAUUGUAGUUUAAUUGAGAAUUUCGACAUAAUUGCAUUUUUUGCAGAAGAUUUGUAAAAAUUUUAGUCUUCCCAAUCUACAAUUUAUCUACAUUUUAUCUAUAAUUUAUCUACAAUUCUACAACAUUUCAAUUGUAGCACAACUGGCAUUGUCGACAUAAUUGUAGAAGACUUGUAGAUGUUUUAGUCUUCUUAAUCUACAAAUUAUCUACAAUUUAUCUAUAUUUUAUUUACAAUUCUACAAUUUAACUAUAAUUUCUGGAAAAAUAUGUCUUCUUCUUUUUCUUCUUCGACGAGUUUCAAUCUGAAAUUCAGUCAAACCAAGUCUAAUCUUCACCAAAACCCCUCAAAAUUGAGAUAUAAACUCCAAACCAUAUUCCCGAUUAUUUUAAACAACACCCAACCAAAUAAAUAAUGAUUAUUGAAAACUCAAAUUUGAAUUCAAAGCUUUCAAAUUUUUUUAUGGCUAUCAAUGGUGGAAAAUAUAUGGAAGAACAGAUGAAGAUGAAGAUGAAGAACAGAGAUCUCCUUUCCGUUUCAAAAUUACGCAGCUUCGAGGUCACGUUUCCGUUUCAAAUUUUAAAUUUAAUGUAGAAUAAAUCAAUCCCAGAUUCUCUUCCUAAUUUUUCGCACCCUAAUAAUGGAAGAUUCAGCCAUAAUAAACGAAUGAGAUAUAAAUUGUAAUAAAACUGUGGAUUGGGUGGGUAAUAUAUAUACUAUGCACAUAUUUGGUAAUAAGGUUUCAUAUAUGGUAUAGUUAGGAAAAAACCCUUUUAAAAAAAUUCACUUUCAGAAUCAGUCUUUGGUCAUAAAAAAUUUAAAUUGCACAUGAAGUUUCAGAAUUUUUCAAAAAUUUUAAAAAUUACAAUGAGCUAUUCAGAAUUUUCAUUUUAAAUCACACAAAAAUUCAAAUAUAAUUUCAAAUUAUAUUCAGAUUCAAACACAACUCCAAAUUUCAAAAAUUAUUUUUACUUGAAUUUUCUUUACGUGUUUUUUCGAAAUUUCACAAUUUUUAUGUCCAAACGUCCCAUGGGUAUGUGCCACCUACACCUAAGAAGUGCAAGGUGAAAUGGCAAUUCUAUAUUCCUUUUCUCCUUGUUAUUUUAUUUUCGACUCAUCAACUUCCAAUAUCUUUUCCGAAUUUACUACUUAAAGAAUUAAUUUUCUGUUUUUUUGUUUUGUUUCUAUUUAUAUUUUUUUCCGGGUAAUUUUUUUUUGGGGGGAGGAAGGGGGUGGGGGGUUGUGGGUAGGGACUAGGGACUGAAUAGGCUAAUUUCUAAUUGGACAAGAAAGAACAAUAAACCUCAAUCGCAAUUCACACUCACAGAGAAAAAGGAGUUAAACCAUGAUUGGAAGAUGCGUAUUACUGAGCCCCUCGAUAUGAAAUAAUGGAAAGUGGAGUGCCAUAAAGUCUCACUAUUUCUUUAAUAUACAAUCGGGCAUAUUGUUAUGCAGUAUCAAUGGACUUGACUGACAAGAAGUGAGAUGAUUUGAUGAGUCGAUCCACUAUCACCCCAAUUGAGUCGAACUUGAGCUGAGUGCGAGGUAGUCCUGCUACGAAAUCCAUGGUGAUCAUCUUCCAUUUCCACAUUGGUAUUUCCAUAAGCUGGGUUAACCCACUAGACCGCUGAUGCUCAGUUUUUACUUGCUGAAAAUUCGAAUAUUUAGACACAAAGUCUGUUACAUCCCUCUUCAUACCGCUCCACCAAUAAAUUUCCUUGCGAUCGUGAUACAUUUUUAUAGAACCUGGGUGCACCAAAUACCUGGAAUGAUGAGCCUCUGCCAUUACACUCUCCCGAAGAUUAUCUACAUCUGGAACACAUAGCCUACCUUGACAUCAUAACACACCAUUAUUGCCGUCGAGUGAGAAUGCUGAAAUCUUGUUACUUGGAACAUGUUUAUAAUUACUGCAUUAAGAACAUAGGUGAAAUGUCGAUUAGAAAUAACAUAAAUGUUGCCCCGACAAGUAAAAAUGUAAAAUGGGAUAAAAAAGUUCCAAACUUUGUGCUCUAUGUGAUGUAAUCUUUUUUUCUUCUAUGGAACAUAUUUUUCCUGAAGUUUUCUUAGACUUGGAAUGCCACUUUAUUUAUCAUUUUACCGUGUUAGGGUGGUUUAUUGAAGCUGGUUGAAGUAUAUAUUGUGGUGGAUUAGUCGAGGUGUGGGGUACAAAAAUAAUUAAGGUAGUUAAGUUAUGAUAAAGAAAUGAACCCUGGCCUCACUCAACCCCAAAAGGUGAGGAUUGUCCAAGACCAUAUAAGGAGUCGAAUACUCUAAUCCCAACUGAUGUGGGAUAUUCAGUAGUAGGAUAUGGAGAUGGGGCGAGGGUGGUUUCUUGAUGAUAUUUGAGUAUCGAAGGUUGCCAAUAAUGUUAAUAUGUUGGUUGAAACGAGAUACAUGGAUCAGUAGCUAUAGUGAAAAAUGGCUUGCGCCCAUCAAUUACGAUAAGUCAUUUUCCCCUGUUUUUUUUGUAAAAUAUUUUCAUUUAGAAGAACAUUUUGAUUAAUUUAAGACAAUUAAUCAUUAGAAAAUCAUCAAGGAGAAUAUUUUAACGCCAUAUCAAUCACAUGAAUGUUGCAGUAUCUGCUCUGGAGAGUUAAAUAAUUGUUCUACUUAGUCAGUUUACUAUAUAUCCUCUAAAUGGGAUGAAUAGAGGAUAUUGGGUUUUUGGGAAGCUCAUUGGAGCUGCAAAUAAGACGGUUGAUCCUUAUGGUAUUAAAUGAAGUUAUACUUCGAUGCAUCUACACAUUUCUAAGAAUUCUGUUUGAACUGAGGCUGUGAACCAUUUUUCGUGUAUCUUUCUAAAGAUUUUACUGUAACUUAUCUUCAGGCAUGGUUUCUUGAUCAGUUUGGGGUGCUUCAUGAUGGGAAACAACCUUAUCCUGGUGCCAUUUCGACAUGUACGUUUUCAUCUGUUAGCUUUGUGAUUUUGGUAAGCUUGUCUAUAUAUACUUUGAGUGGUUCCUUACUGUUAGUUUUUCCUUAGUGGAUAACUAAUGAUGUUAAGCAGUGGAAAAGUUGGCAACUUAUGGUGCAAAGAUGGUGAUCAUUAGUAAUUCUUCAAGAAGAGCAUCUACUACCCUGGAAAAAUUAAGGAGCCUUGGAUUUGAUCCGUCACUCUUUAUCGGUGCCAUUACCAGUGGGGAAUUAACGCAUCAGUACCUUCAAAGGUUACAUAUUUUACAUUUAAGUAGAGACGGACCAAAUUAUAUUAUGGUUCAAUUUGGGAUUUUGUUCAGUAGCAUGUCUACUCUACGCUCUGUAGAUUUCCUUUUUGAAUAAUUUUAUUGCUAACUUUCUAUUGGUCAUCAAUUUGGGAGCUAUUCACUAGCAUAUCUGCUGCAUAUAGAUCUCUUAUAUGACGAUCUAUUUGCUUUCUAUUCAUCAUUCUAAAUUUAACUUCAAACAGUUAAGAUGUUUGAACAUAAGGUGCUUUAAAUUUCUUGUAUUAUCCAUGUCUCACUUGAUGUUUCAUCUACCAAUUGGCUCCUCCCACAUAGUCACCACCAACUAUUAUCACUGCUGCUUUUCUCAUUCAUCCCUCACAUUAUGUCAUUUUUUGCAAUGCCUUUUAGAACUGUCAAUAUUUUGAACAGAAACUUAAGGAAACGACAUGUCGUGUCUAUCGGUUUAGAUGAGCAUUGAACUACAGAUUAUCAACUAAAAAUGGUGAAGUAACUAAUUCUCAGAAACUUAAGGAAAUCACAUGUCGUAUCUGUCAGUUUAGAUGAGCAUUGAACUACAGAUUAUCAACUAAAAAUGGUGAAGUAAAUAAUUCUCCAGUGCAUUGUUUUGUUCAUUCAUUAGUUUUCUGUUAUUUUCACUUAAUCCUCAUUCUCCAAUCCCAAAUAAAAGAAUGUCAAACUAACAAGGUAUUUGCAUUAGCUUUUUCCAUAUAUGUAAGUGAAUGUGUUUCUUUACAUUUGAUUAUGGGCAGGAGAGAUGACGCUUGGUUUGCCUCCUUGGGAAGAUCAUGUAUUCACAUGACUUGGAGUGACAGGGGUGCUAUAUCUCUUGAGGUAUAUCUGAGUUCCUUAGAAUUAUGUCCAAGUGUGGCUCUUAUGUUUUGAUGUUGAAGAGUUUCAGUUUCAUCUCCGUCACCAUUGUUUUCAUGAGUGUUUGAAUUGAAGAACAUGUUGCCUUUCUCACUAAGUGGCACUUGUUUUUCUGUUAGGGCCUCGGACUAGAAGUUGUGGAAAAUGCUCAGGAAGCCAAUUUUAUUUUGGCUCAUGGAACUGAAGCCUUGGGGCUUUCUUCUGGAGCCGCACUUCCCAUGAAACUUGAUGAUCUUGAAAAAAUACUGGAGCAGUGUGCUGCUAAAAAAAUUCCCAUGGUGGUAGCAAAUCCUGAUUUUGUAACUGUUGAGGCUAGGGCUCUGCGUGUUAUGCCCGGUAAGAAUGUUUUCCUGGCACUCAUGCUUUGGAUAGUUUAGUUACUUUAUACUUUAGGGCACAUAUCUUGAUAAAUAAGGAAUUCGGAAUUGCUAGUAGCAUUCAGUUUAUCUAUUAAACUGUUUAAGACGACAAUAUCUUUUUUCUUAAAGUUCCACUAAUUCCCACACCAACUGAUUUCAGGCAUUUCUUUUUAAUUAUCAUUGAACUGCAUUAUAGCCUUCCACCCUCUAUCUUGUUUUUCUCCAUUUCCAGAUUCAUGACUGAGAUCCUUCUCUUGGAUUUGUUUUCCAGGAACAUUGGCGGCCACAUAUGAAAAACUUGGCGGUCAAGUAAAAUGGAUGGGCAAACCUGAUAAGGUGAAGCGUAAUCAAUAUAUGUUUUCCUCUUUUCUUAUGAGAUACUUGUGUGUUUAUCUAUUCUAUAGGUUCAGAAAAAAUAUGUGAGAAUUGACGAUCAGAAUGUUUUUGAAUAAAGAAAAAAAUCUCAAAGUAGAGCAAGACAUAGGAAAUUGUAAGCAAUAGAAGCCCAGUAUAUCUAGAGGCGGAGGUAGGAUUUGAAUGGGUUCGAGAUUAUAAUCCUUUCAAAAGUCACUGGGUUCUAAAUUAAUAAUUUGUACAUAUUCAUUGGAUUUCUUAGUACAAAUACAGGGUUUGAACAAAAGCUACUGGGUUCAAAUUGCCAUUUCUUGGAGUAUAUCUUGUGAGCCUAGUUACUGGUACCUGUAAGAUUUAAGGCACUUCAUUUUGUAGAUCUUCAAAUUGAUCAUUCUUUUUUAUACGGUCCUAUGCAGUGGCGAAUCCUUGAACUUAUACAAGGGGAUUCAAAAACACACUACAAUGUCACACUGAAUUUGUCGAAUAACAGGAACAUAGCUCUUUUGCUUAUGUACAUGAUCCAUUGGAUUGUCUGACCUUUUCUCUGCUUCUAUUGUCCCACUGGAUAUCUUCUGAACGUCAUUGAACUAUCUCACAACUACUUGCAGAUAAUAUACAAGUCUGCUAUGGAAAUGGCUGAUGUGGAUGUCUCUGAUUGUGUUGCCGUAGGAGACUCCCUACACCAUGAUAUCAAAGGUGCAAAUGCAGCUGGAAUUGCAUCCGCAUUUAUUACAUGUGGAAUUCAUGCUACUGAACUUGGACUUAGCAAAUUUGGAGAAGUUGCAGAUGAUAAUUCUAUACAUGCUCUUGCCUUGCAAAACAAUGCAUAUCCUACAUAUGUUCUCCCUUCAUUUACAUGGUGAAGAAUGUGAUAUUUGGGUUUGGCUAGAAUUUUGUCUCUCUUCAGUCAAUAGCAUUGAUGUAUCCAAGUACCUAAUAAUGCUACUCACUUUUUACCUGUUUGAUUCUUUCGGAUGAAAUGGUUUUGCUGUUAACCAUCUAUUUUAUCUAAGAAGGGGGAGUUUUGGAGUAAUAGUAAUAUUGUCUCCCUGACCUAUAGGUUACGGGUUCGAGACGUGGAAUCAGCCUCUGAUGCUUACAUUACCCUGCCUACAUCACUCCCCUUGGGAUGCGGCCCUUCCCUGGACCCUGUGUGAACACGGACUGGACAUCUGUUUUAUCUAAAUUGUUUUUUUUCCAGCGAACCGUCGAUUUUAUCUUUCUAGUAUGGUUGUGUCGGAAAAAUUUAUUCACACCCGAUGUUUAUAUCAAUCCAAGAAUACAUGACAUGUAUUUUUACGUACACUGGUAUCACUUAACAAUUGUUGAAUAUAAUACCAAAUUUGCCUCAAUUUUAUACUUAACCAUGGUAAACUAAUGGGGUUUGAUCUAAACACUGAGGUAUGGUAACUUUUCUUGGAGUCAUAUUGCUAUUUGUGGUGCAGUCUACAAUUUCUGAUCGAAACGACUGAAGUUUUCUUUUUAACUGGCUUUGAAUAAUUUUCUGGCAAUUGGCUACAGCCCAAAAUUAAAAGGUUGAUGCAUGUCUCCAAAAAAGGAUUUUCCUAAUAUACAAAAGGGAAGAAAAGAUAUUUUCAAAUAGAAUAAUGAGAUGUCGAGUUCAAGGAAUAACAUAAUCUAUUUUUGGUAUUGAUUUAGAUAUUUCUUAGAGAUUAUCUAAAAGAAUAUUUAGAUUCGCAAACAUUAAUUAUUCGGGUGAUUUGCAAGAAUGGCCUAGGAAGUGGAUGGCUUUGAACUUUUGACCUAGCUUGCCUCGUAGCAAACAUUCAACUUUAAAAAAACUGUCUCUUGGGUAAGCGAGGGACAAAAAUUUUUCUGCAAUUUUUUGCUCCGAAAAAUCAGAGGCGGAUCAAAGAUUUUAAGUCACUUCAUCGUGCACCUGCUGCCUUCAAUAUGUAUCCGCCCUGUGGGGGAUAAUUGUUUAAUCCAAUAUUAACUGCAAUUCCAAUUCUUGAUUGCUGUUGGGAUUUGUUGAUUUUAUUAUUAAUUCACUCAUGUUUUUCUCGUCAAGUUCUUUAGAUAUCAAAAAUAACAUCUUCAACUUUAAUUUUAGAACGUUGAGCAGGGAAGUGAUUAGGCAUGUAGAAUCACUUGAUCAGACUGUUAAUAUCACCUUUAACUUUAUUGUACUAAAUAUUCUCCUUCCUUUCUUAGUUCUUGAUUUAUGGACAUAAUUGUGAUAACAAAACGGUGUAACUAAGCAUCUGUCUGUGUCUUGACAAUGGUUCUACUUAUUUUGUCUUUUGGCAUUUGUCCGGCUAAUAUGAAUUAAUGACAAGUAAGCCCACUAAAUAAUCCUAUUUUACCCUUUACCCGACCUUCUUAUAUAAUAAUAUUAUUUCGUACCUUACUUUUUUUAUUUGUAAUAUUGCAAGUUUAUUUUUUAUACUGUUGGUGCAUGACAUCAUGAAAAGACGGCAAACAAUACCAUUUUUCCAAACAUUCUAUAUAUCAAAAUGAUACAGUAUAACACAAUACAAUAAUAUACGAUAUAUUAUGAAACGAUAAAUAACAACCAUCCAAACAAGUUGUAAGUGGUAAAGUGCUCUUUGCCAAGAGGAUCUCUAUUUCCAAGUCGAAUACAUAUCUUUGAUUAAAGGUGGAGAGGUCCGAACCAUGGCAUCACCACCCUUGAUGUAUCUAUUAAUAAUUUGAGCGAUAUCAUCAUACAGUUCAAAGCAUCCUUACAUUUCUUUCUUUCUCUGUACUAUGGCUCUGAAUGAUUUGUCCUGUUCCAGUGUGCACAUCAAUGAUCAAACACUGGCAAGACAAGAUGUUGCAUAUAUUCUGGUCAACAUUCUCUUGACACAACUAAGCUUGGAUACAGAGUUCCUCAUAAAGUAUGAAUUUUUUUCCACACAAUAUGCUCAUCAUUAACCGUAGAUCACCUCAUUGGGACAAAGAUUUCUAGCAGCAGAAUCUGAUGAGUAUUUCUUCUGCCUGGUUUUAUUCCUUAGCAGCUGUAUCCCAGGAUAAUUUAUGACGUUCAAUGAAAAUAAGUAUAUACACAAUCAAGACAAGUACCUAUUACAAAAUAAAAUUCCACUUCACGCUCACUGUUCCCAGCCUUUUACACGGAAAAGAUGCUUUUCAAGACAGAUGAUGAGAUUCUUUUAAGUGCUAGCUAUGGUUAAUAAAAUGUGUCCUUAUUUAAGUUAUCCUACUUAAAGCACACAUGUGAAGGCCUACUCAUUUGAUCAACUUCCUUAUAUGAAAUGAAAGAAUCAACUGGUGCAAGCGUCCAUAACCCUGAUGAAGUGGUUGUUGAUCUUGGCGCUCAUAUUAGAUAUGAGCGUGAUGAAAAUUUAUCCAACUCAAAGACAGGCACAGAGUGCUUACCAAGUGCAGAUAUUUCCGAGGUCAGGAAGAAAGGGACAUCACGACGAAACUCGAAGCUGCUCGUUAAAAAUAAGAAGUCCAGGUUUGAAGACAUAGUAUGGGAGUAUACAAGAUUGGGAAAAGUUAGCAGCAAAAAGCAAGAUGAAGAUUGGUUCAUAGAUGAAGACUUUUUUGAGGAAUCCACAUCUAAGAAGUUAAGUUUGUGGACAGUUUUGCAAUUGGUGAGUCUCGUCUUGAUUCUGAUGGCAUUAACCUGUACCUUCUCAGUUUCUAAACUGAAGGAACUAAAACUAUGGGAUCUUCCAUUGUGGAAGUGGGAAAUCUUCUUAUCAGUGAUCAUAUCAGGCCAUUUGCUCUGCGGUUGGGGUGUACAAGCUAUAGUUUUCUGUAUCGAACGUGGUUUUUUACAGAAGCUGAGGGUUCUUUACUUUGUGUAUGGACUCAAAAAGGCUUUUCAGAAUUGCCUGUGGGUGGUUCUGACCGUGAUUGCUUGGCAUUUCUUGGUAGUAGAAAAGAUGGCUUACGAGAGGAAAAGCAAAGUAUUACGUUAUCUGACGAAAAGUCUGCUCUGCAUAUUGGUGGCUACCUUGAUCUGGUUUAUGAAGGUUAUUAUUGUUAAGAUUCUUGCUUCAUCAUUUCACAAUAAGAAGUUUUUCAAAAGAAUUACACAGUAUCUUGUCAAACAAUAUGUGAUAAAAAGCUUAUCAGACUCCCUAAAUGGUGAAAAUAGUAUGUCAGAAAAGGGUGAGAUGAGGAAUGUAACAGAGGCCAAGAAUAUUAGUAGUACUACUUACUUUCCAUGGGGAUUUGAUGGCAAAAAGAGCCAUAAACGCUCGAAUAAUUGUUUACAAAAAUGGACUAGAAUGUAUAUGUCUAACUUGGGAAAGAAGAGUGUAAAGAGGCUAGUUCAAGGAGGGCUCAUCCCAACUCUUUCAACCAUGGACGAAGAUUUUUCCGAUUUAAGUGACGAAGAGGAUGAGGAAUCAUCUUGUCGCAAUGCUAGAAAGCUAGCUCGGAAGAUAUUCAAGGAAAGCUAGCUCGGAAGAUAUUCAAGAAAGUCGCUAAGGGAUCUCGGUAAGUUUUUACACAGUUUAUAACUUUUAAUUUGUUUGAUUAAGCUCUACUGUUCUCCUAGUGCAGUAUGCUUUAUUUCUCUACUGUAAAAUAGAAAGGAAGUCUUGGCGUAACUGGUAAAGUUGCUUUCAUGUGACCAGGAGGUCACGGGUUCGAGCGGUGAAAAUAGCCUCUUGCAGAAAUGCAGGGCAAGGCUGCGUACGAUACACCCUUGUGUUCCAACCCUUCCCCGGAUCCCAGGCAUAGCGAGAGCUUUGCACCGGGCUGCCCUCUCUGUUGUAAGAUCAUUAAAAUUAGAACUUGCUACAUGCUUACAUGAUACAACAACAACAACAACAAUCCAGUAUAAUCCCACUUAGUGGGGUCUGGGGAGGAUAGUAUGUACGCAGACCUUACCCCUACCCUUGGAUGGAGAGGAUGUUUCCAAAUAGACCCCCGGCGUCCUUCCCUCCAAGAACUUCCCACCUUGCUCUUGGGGAUAUACUCGAACUCACAAUCUCUCGGUUGGAAGUGGGGGUUGCUUACCAUCAGAGCAACCCCUCUUGUCUCAUGCUUACAUGAUACAAGAACUAGAAUAGUUAAGCUUUUUGUACUCUAUGUACCAUUCAAGCCUGAUGGUGUAAACCGGAGCAAACAUUGUUUAGCUGUCAGUCCCUCUGGUC
rnacentral:lncRNA from 1 species